rnacentral:rRNA from 1 species
UACGUAGGUGACAAGCGUUGUCCGGAUUUACUGGGCGUAAAGAGCGCGCAGGCGGUCGAUCAAGUCGAGUGUGAAAGCCCCCGGCUCAACUGGGGAGGGUCACGCGAUACUGAUCGACUCGAAGGCAGGAGAGGGUAGUGGAAUUCCCGGUGUAGUGGUGAAAUGCGUAGAUAUCGGGAGGAACACCAGUGGCGAAGGCGACUACCUGGGCUGUUUCUUGACGCUGAGGCGCGAAAGCUAGGGGAGCAAACGGG